rnacentral:lncRNA from 1 species
CUAAAUCCAAAUCAAAAGAUUCAAAUUACAGAUCUCUACUUAUCAUAUAAAAUGCUUAUGAUCAUCUAAAAUAGAACAAACUUAAGGUCUGGGCGAUGAUAGGAAAGUGCAAGCAAGCAGGCGCACUAAUUCCAUUGCAUUGCGUUUCAACGUGACACAUCACUAUCUCUUGGUGAGCGGUUGUUAUCCUCAUAAUCAUCAUCACCAGGACUUCUAUCAUCUCUUGGACUAGGGCUGCGGCUGCGGCCAUUAGUCUGAGGAGGACUUCUAUACCUCUCACCUCGAGGGCUUCUGCUUCGUCCCCUGGGGCUGCCACUGUACUCUCUAUCCUGUUCAUCAUCCAUUUUCCGAGAUUUAGGAGAAGGACGUGGGCUGCCUUCAUCAGGUGUUGCGCUACGCUUCCUUGCCUUGGUAUUCUUUGGCCCGGGGCUGAAUG